rnacentral:rRNA from 1 species
AACGAACGCUGGCGGCAUGCCUAACGCAUGCGAGUCGAACGAACCCUUCGGGGUGAGUGGCGCACGGGUGCGUAACACGUGGGAACCUGCCCUUAGGUUCGGAAUAACACAGAGAAAUUUGUGCUAAUACCGGAUAAUGUCUUCGGACCAAAGAUUUAUCGCCUUUGGAUGGGCCCGCGUAGGAUUAGCUAGUUGGUGAGGUAAAGGCUAACCAAGGCGACGAUCCUUAGCUGGUCUUAGAGGAUGAUCAGCCACACUGGGACUGAGACACGGCCCAGACUCCUACGGGAGGCAACAGUGGGGAAUAUUGGACAAUGGGCGAAAGCCUGAUCCAGCAAUGCCGCGUGAGUGAUGAAGGCCUUAGGGUUGUAAAGCUCUUUUACCUGGGAUGAUAAUGACAGUACCAGGAGAAUAAGCCCCGGCUAACUCCGUGCCAGCCGCCGCCGUAACAC